rnacentral:rRNA from 1 species
UAGGGAAUCUUCCACAAUGGGCGAAAGCCUGAUGGAGCAACGCCGCGUGAGUGAUGAAGGCCUUUGGGUUGUAAAACUCUGUCUUCUGUGACGAACAAGCCUGUGAGUAAAAUGCUCAGGCCCUGACGGUAACAGAGGAGGAAGCCACGGCUAACUACGUGCCAGCAGCCGCGGUAAUACGUAGGUGGCAAGCGUUGUCCGGAAUCACUGGGCGUAAAGCGCGCGCAGGCGGCGAUCUACGUCUGGGGUGAAAGCCCGGAGCUCAACUCCGGGACUGCCUUGGAUACGGGAUCGCUUGAGAAUUGGAGAGGCAAGGGGAAUUCCACGUGUAGCGGUGAAAUGCGUAGAUAUGUGGAGGAACACCUGUGGCGAAGGCGCCUUGCUGGCCAAUUUCUGACGCUGAGGCGCGAAAGCGUGGGGAGCAAACAGGAUUAGAUACCCUGGUAGUCCACGCCGUAAACGAUGAGUGCUAGGUGUUGGGGGUACC